rnacentral:tRNA from 1 species
GCCCUAAUAGCUUAAACCUUAAAGCGUUGACUUUGUAAGUCAAAACUGGACACCCCUUAGGGCA